rnacentral:rRNA from 1 species
GAUGAACGCUGGCGGCGUGCCUAAUACAUGCAAGUCCAGCGAACAGACGAGGAGCUUGCUCCUCUGACGUUAGCGGCGGACGGGUGAGUAACGCGUGGAUAACCUACCUAUAAGUCUGGGAUAACUUCGGGAAACCGGAGCUAAUACCGGAUAAUCUAUUGCACCGCAUGGUUCAAUAGUGAAAGACGGUUUUGCUGUCUCUUCUAGAUGGAUCCGCGCCGCAUUAGCUAGUUGGUAAGGUAACGGCUUACCAAGGCGACGAUGCGUAGCCGACCGGAGAGGCGGAUCGGCCACACUGGAACUGGACCACGGUCCAGAGUCCUGCGGGAGGCAGCAGUAGGGAAUCGUCGGCAAUGGGCGAGAGCCUGACGGAGCAACGCCGAGUGAGAGAUGAAGGUCUUCGGAGCGGAAAACUGUGUUACGAGGGAAGAACAAAUGUGGAAGUAACUAUGCACGUCGUGACGGUACCGAAUCAGAAAGCCACGGCUAACUACGUG